UGAAGAGACCCUCCUGUUUCCUAGUCCAGGGGAGCAAGCGGGCAGACUGUUGUUCUCAUCAGACUUGGUCAGUGGAGAUUCAGCUGCCCUUCCCUGCGGAAGGCCCUCCCAUAUCAACAUCACUGUGGAAAAGGGACUUGCUUGUUCCUACAGAUUCCCUCACACGCACAGCACAGGGGAGCAUUACUCUCUCCGGGUAUCCCUUACUGCUUUAGUCAAUCCGGGUGCUCUGUUUGAAAUCCAGCACGUGAGAAGGUCUGGGUAAAGUUGCUGGGAUGGAAGAAAACCUUGGUAUUGACUUAAGACGGUGGUGUGCCAGAGCCAGCUCAUACUGGAGGGAGAGUGAGACAGAGAGAGACACAGACAGAGAGAAUUGCUAAAUUCCCAGGAAUUUCACUAACCAGUUGAUAUCAUGCUGAUAUCUUGACAUUGGCAAUGGUUGGCAGUACUCACCCCCUGAAAAUUGGUCACUGCUGCAACUGAGACCUCUUCUUUCCUUCCAGGGUGCUUGUUGUUAAAUAUUUACCAACACACCCCUAACUUAAGGUUGCAUUCAAGUGUGGAAUUCACGAUUUUGCUGGUGCUUUCUGAAUUAUAUCCUUUUCUCCUCCUCCCAAGGUGCCUUUGAAUCCCACCCCAUCUGCUCUUUGUGUGUACUUCUGGAGAAAUCCUAGUGUUAGGUUCACAGAAGUCAAAGCAAUAGAUUGUUUGUUUGUACAAAGCCUUUCUAUUGUUUGAAGUGAUUUCACAGCCGGUUCUUCAUUUUGAUCUGCACCACAACCCUGAGAAGGACAGAGUUCAUACUCUUAUUUCCAUUUUGCAGAUGGGAAACCUGUAGUUCUGAGUGGAUCUAUGGGAACGAUGGGGCAAGGGAGACCCCGGACCCCCCGCCGUCACUCAGACUCUCUGGCCUGAGAUCCGAACACAGUUCCACGAGGGGAAUCGAUCAGUGCUAGCUCAUCCCACAGGCCGAGACGUGAGCUGCCCAUCCGCAGGAGAGUUGCAUUUCUCCUGGCCCCCCGAGAAGAAGAGCCCCUCCACUCCGGAGUACUCAGAGACCACACAGCAGACCUCCCUGCCACCUGCUUUUCUCAUAGUCCUUGGACUUCUCAAGACCACAAGAAGCACACACAGCAGGAAACUGCUUAGCAACUGCACGUAGGAAAUUAGGAAUCCAAAACAUUACUGCGAGUUUCUUCUUCCCUACUUCGUUCUCCUGUGUCGUUUUCGGUUGUUCGCGAUUCAGUCAUUGUUCCAUCACACGACACACUAACUGGUUCUGCAGGGUCCGGGACGGGAGCUGCACGGAGGCCCUGCUUGCCUUCCAGGGGGGCU
rnacentral:lncRNA from 1 species